UACGUAGGGUGCGAGCGUUAAUCGGAAUUACUGGGCGUAAAGCGUGCGCAGGCGGUUUUGUAAGCCAGAUGUGAAAUCCCCGGGCUUAACCUGGGAGUGGCAUUUGGGACUGCAAGGCUUGAGUUUGGCAGAGGAGACUGGAAUUCCUGGUGUAGCAGUGAAAUGCGUAGAUAUCAGGAGGAAUACCGAUGGCGAAGGCAGGUCUCUGGGCUAGAACUGACGCUCAUGCACGAAAGCGUGGGGAGCAAACAGG
rnacentral:rRNA from 1 species